rnacentral:rRNA from 1 species
ACGCGAGCGUUAUCCGGAUUUACUGGGCGUAAAGCGCCUGUAGGCGGCCCUGUAAGUUGGGCCUGAAAGCCCCGUGCUUAACGCGGGGAGACCGUUCGAUACUGCGGAGCUAGAGUACGGCAGAGGGGAGUGGAAUUCCUGGAGUAGCGGUACAAUGCGCAGAUAUCAGGAGGAACACCAGUGGCGAAGGCGGCUCCCUGGCCCGAGACUGACGCUCAGAGGCGAAAGCUAGGGGAGCGCACAGGAUUAGAGACCCUGGUAGUCCUAGCCUUACACGAUGGAUGCUAGGUGUGGGGCCGAUGAGUUUCCGCGCCGGAGCAAACGCGAUGAGCAUCCCGCCUGGGGACUACGGCCGCAACGCAUACAAACUCAAACGAAUUGACGAGGGGCCCGCACAAGCACCGGAGCGUGUGCUAUAAUUCGAUGCUACACGAAGAACCUUACCUGGGUUUGACAUGUUAGCUGGUAGUGAGCCGAAAGUUGAGCUGACCCUUCGGGGAGCCUACACAGGUGCUGACAUUGUCUGUCGUCAGAUCGUGCCGUCGAGGUGUCGGCUUUAGUCCUGUAACGAGCGCAACCCUUGCUCGUAGUUAUACGUGUCUAGGGGGUCUGCCGGCGGGCAGCCGGAGGAAGUUGGGGAUGACUUCAAGUCACCAUGG